rnacentral:pre_miRNA from 1 species
UUCUCGCUCUGAGCCGGUCACAGAAGAGGCCCGGGACCCGCAUCGCGGGUCCCGGGCCUCUUCCACGGCCUGGUGCCGGGCCCUGU